rnacentral:misc_RNA from 1 species
AGAACACGAGCGAAACCAGAGAGGGGGCGAUGGCGACGGCGACGGCGCUCAACCGCGGCCUCCGCUCCGGGAUCCGCCUCCUCGCCACCGGCGCUGAGGCCUCCAAGACAGAUUCUCGUGGAUUCCAUGCCACUGGUGUGAAGAGGAUGGGAGGGCAUGGCCAUGAUGAGCCCUACUACCUCCAUGCCAAGCACAUGUACAACUUGCACAGGAUGAAGCACCAGAAGCCG